UAGGGAAUCUUCCACAAUGGACGAAGGUCUGAUGGAGCAACGCCGCGUGAGUGAAGAAGGGUUUCGGCUCGUAAAACUCUGUUGUUAAAGAAGAACAUAUCUGAGAGUAACUGCUCAGGUAUUGACGGUAUUUAACCAGAAAGCCACGGCUAACUACGUGCAG
rnacentral:rRNA from 1 species